GCAGGCGUAGCUCAGAGGAAGAGCAUCGGACUUCGAAUCCGAGGGUCGUGGGUUCGAGCCCCAUCGUUUGUA
rfam:Naegleria gruberi genomic scaffold NAEGRscaffold_5, whole genome shotgun sequence.